rnacentral:rRNA from 1 species
AUGAACGCUGGCGGUGUGCCUCACACAUGCAAGUCGAACGAGGUAGCAAUAUCUAGUGGCGGACGGGUGAGUAACGCGUGGGAAUCUGCCUUUAGGUGGGGGAUAACUGACCGAAAGGUUAGCUAAUACCGCAUAUGCGUAUGUCUCGACAGAGAUGUACGUAAAAGGAGCAAUUUGCCUGAAGAUGAGCCCGCGUCCGAUUAGCUAGUUGGUAGGGUAAAAGCCUACCAAGGCUCCGAUCGGUAGCUGGUCUGAGAGGAUGAUCAGCCACAAUGGGACUGAGACACGGCCCAUACUCCUACGGGAGGCAGCAGUGGGGAAUUUUACGCAAUGGGGGAAGCCCUGACGUAGCGACACCGCGUGAGUGAAGAAGCCCUUUGGGGUGUAAAGCUCUGUCGGCAGGAACGAAAAAAAUGACGGUACCUGCAAAGGAAGCAUCGGCUAACUACGU